rnacentral:rRNA from 1 species
UGCAGUCGAGCGGUAGAGAGAAGCUUGCUUCUCUUGAGAGCGGCGGACGGGUGAGUAAUGCCUAGGAAUCUGCCUGGUAGUGGGGGAUAACGUCCGGAAACGGACGCUAAUACCGCAUACGUCCUACGGGAGAAAGCAGGGGACCUUCGGGCCUUGCGCUAUCAGAUGAGCCUAGGUCGGAUUAGCUAGUUGGUGGGGUAAUGGCUCACCAAGGCGACGAUCCGUAACUGGUCUGAGAGGAUGAUCAGUCACACUGGAACUGAGACACGGUCCAGACUCCUACGGGAGGCAGCAGUGGGGAAUAUUGGACAAUGGGCGAAAGCCUGAUCCAGCCAUGCCGCGUGUGUGAAGAAGGUCUUCGGAUUGUAAAGCACUUUAAGUUGGGAGGAAGGGCAGUAAAUUAAUACUUUGCUGUUUUGACGUUACCGACAGAAUAAGCACCGGCUAACUCUGUGCCAGCAGCCGCGGUAAUACAGAGGGUGCAAGCGUUAAUCGGAAUUACUGGGCGUAAAGCGCGCGUAGGUGGUUCGUUAAGUUGGAUGUGAAAUCCCCGGGCUCAACCUGGGAACUGCAUUCAAAACUGACGAGCUAGAGUAUGGUAGAGGGUGGUGGGAAUUUCCUGUGUAGCGGUGAAAUGCGUAGAUAUAGGAAGGAACACCAGUGGCGAA